UUGCCAGGUAGGUUGUGUCCACUGUGUAGACAGGUUAUGUCCCAUUGCCAGGUAGGUUGUGUCCCCCGUAUAGGCAGGUUAUGUCCCAUUGCCAGGUAGGUUGUGUCCCCCGUGUAGACAGGUUAUGUCCCAUUGCCAGGUAGGUUGUGUCCACUGUGUAGACAGGUUAUGUCCCAUAGCCAGGUAGGUUGUGUCCCCCGUGUAGACAGGUUAUGUCCCAUUGCCAGGUAGGUUGUGUCCCCCGUGUAGACAGGUUAUGUCCCAUUGCCAGGUAGGUUGUGUCCACUGUGUAGACAGGUUAUGUCCCAUAGCCAGGUAGGUUGUGUCCCCCGUGUAGACAGGUUAUGUCCCAUUGCCAGGUAGGUUGUGUCCACUGUGUAGACAGGUUAUGUCCCAUAGCCAGGUAGGUUGUGUCCCCCGUGUAGACAGGUUAUGUCCCAUUGCCAGGUAGGUUGUGUCCCCCGUGUAGACAGGUUAUGUCCCAUUGCCAGGUAGGUUGUGUCCCCCGUGUAGACAGGUUAUGUCCCAUUGGCAGGUAGGUUGUGUCCCCCAUGUAGACAGGUUAUGUC